GACGGAAAACUGCAACGGAGCGCAGGAGUGUACUGGCCGCUUGUACCGCUCAGUCCUUCACCCUCACCGAGGAGGUCUGCUAGCUGUGGAAGUGAAGAGGCACGGCCGUGCUGGAGUUUCCCAAGAAUCCCAGGAAGGACAAAGAGAGUCAACAUGAGGUCCAUUGUGAAGCACCAUGGAUUUACCUGAGUUGCAGGACUACGGUCACAUUUUAGGGAAGGAAAGCCAGGGGGAAAAGGAAUCUUGUCUAGCACGAGGUCCCUAGGAGUCUGGAAAGAAAGCUGGGGGCUGAUCACUCUCAAAAAUGUUCCAGGGUUGCUGCCCAAACCUCUGCCAAGGUAUUCGAGGAAAGAAGGCAGCAGGGGUCGACCUUCCAGCAACGCUCUCCAUGUUCAUGACCUCUGUUAUCUGCUGCCAACCUGGCCUGUCUUUCAGAAGUGACCUAUGACGUGAACAUGUCUGUCAAGUGAAUCUCUAAGAGAGACUGCUACAAUUUCUUUGAAAGAACAUUAGAUAUGAAGAACUGUUAAGUAUUACGAGGUUGCUAACAGGCCAUUGCUAUGCCAUUUGAAUAACUUUUAUAUUUUUUGUAGGAAACAUUGUAAUGUUUACUAUCUGUAGGGAAAACCAAAUGUUAGACAGUUGCCUGGGAAAUUAUGUUAUGUGCUUUAUGGGAGAGCAGAGGUUCUAGUUCUGGGCCAGUCUUAGAGUUUUGCACUGCAGAUGUGUGGUAGAUGUCUAUUUAAUUAAAUUGGUUUUGCUAAGCAAUUGACCCAAUCAGGGAUGGUUCAAUCCAUUAGGGUUCUCUUCUUUUUUCUUCUUCUUCUCCCUUCUCCUCCUUUCUCCUCCCUCCUCCCCCUCCCGCUCCUCCUUCACCUCCUUCUUCCUCCUCUUCUCCUUCUCCCUCUCCCCCUCCCUCCUCCUCUCCUCCUUUUUCUUCUUCUUAACUCAUUUAAGGCCCCAGGUGACUAUUUAGACACUUAGUCUUGCUUGGCUCAUUUACUAUAAUCCGAUUUUUAAAAGGUAUCACUAAAUCAAUACAAAUCCAACUCUACCACUGAGAUCAAGGUAGAAAUGCUCCACCAGUUUAAUGGAAGUUCGUUCCAGUUAGUCUGCACAGCACUGAACAUAUACAUAGAAAACAACAGUAUUACAUAACAUAAAUGUCAUGGCCACAGGUUCCAGUUAUGAGACGAAUUUCCUUUCUUUUUUUUUUUUUUUUUAAGAUUUUAUUUAUCUCUUUGAGAGAGAGGAGCACACAAGCAGGGGGAAAGGCAGAGGGAGGGGGAGAAGCAGACUCCCUGCUGAGCAGGGGGCUCGAUGUGGGACCCUGGGAUCAUGACCGGAGCCGACGGCAGACGCUUAACCAUCUGAGCCACCCAGGCGCCCCUCCUUUCUUCUCCUUUUGUAUGAGGGUUGAAUGUCAGCAAAAUAGAAGGCACUUAUUCAGGGUGAUAUUUUAGUUACUGCUCUUUGGUCACGGGUGAGUUACUGUGCUGUACAUUCAUGUCAAAACCAACUUGUGUUAAAUGAGCUGAAUACAGCUUGCCACACGCUUUUUAAAUGGAUUUUUGUCAAUCUAUUAUUUCCAACAUUUAAAAGGGGGAUUAUUUUCGAAAAUAAAACACAGCAAAACAUUUACCUGUAAUGAUACCAAAUUCGUAAGUAAAAUGAGCUGUGUGUAGUAUCAUAA